ACACAAGUAGGUGUUAGUGACAACAUUAAAAGAGCCUGGCUGGGUCACAGAUUUGAUGGAAUAGCAAAUCCUUUAAGAUUCAGGGUCAAAUGCAGCUCACAUUGGCACACCAUGUGAUCCCACUCCAUGUCGAUGAUAUGAAAGAGCUGGAUUUCAUCCUUAAUAUCUCUCAGCAUUGUUUGCUGCUAGGGGAUAUGUGCUGUCAAAUAACUUCUGGGAGGCACUCAUGCUCUCAGAGAGAGGAGCUGAGGAGGCCUCCAAAUUACAGAUUUGCCCACCAGUAACAACGUCUCCUUAAACGCAUAUUCCAGUGUAAGCAAAUCUCCCGCUGCUGGGGUGAUGCAUUUCUAGUGGCUCCUUGGAUAAAACAAAGGAACAGAAAAGGAGAAAGUAGAAUAACACAAAAAGGCAGAAGCGGUACACCUUUUCCUGUCCUUUUGGAGAGGAAUCAUGAGGUGAUAGAUAAGAUUCAAAAGGAAGCCUGUUGCCCUCAGUGUCAUUGCUCUUGGGGCAUACGCAUGUGAUCCCUUGCAGGUAGAUACCACUGCCCCGCUGGGCAGGGGACAAGCUGUGGAACAGGACUAAGUGCUGCAAAGAGCUUUUCUGUCUGGCACUGCAAUUAGUUGUGUAAUUUGUGGCUGUUUGCACAGGCACUCUCUAUCCACUGGUCUCUGCACACUCCUUUGUUAAUGGAGAUCAUCAGGCAGUGUUGUUUCCCAUUGUGUGUCAUCUUUGAUAUCUCUCUGACUGACAUUUCUUCUGCUGUGUCUGCAUCCACUGCAUGAGACUACAACAUCAAGGGCGGUCGUUUCCUUUGGUACCAGAGGAAUCCACUCCAGCGAGCAGCCAGACUGAGCUAUCAGUCUGGAGAGUUUCAAAUGGAUCAUAAUCAAGUCUUGAAAGUCCAGGGGCCUCAUUUCUCAGGCAGUUAGACUAUUCUGACACUCAUUCAGAUGGUCAUUUCAGAGGGACACCUCUGAUCAUUUGAGUGAGAACAAGACUGUUACAUCCACUUUAUACCAGUAUAUAAAAUCCUCCAUCAGUAGGUGAGUGAGUUACAGAAGCAGAUGAUUAAAUGUACAUCAUUCCUAUCCAUAUAUGAAAUUGAGAAUUUGGUGCUUAAAAUUAUGACCCAUUUAAAUACUUUGGUAAUUUAGGGUCUAGGCUUUUAGGUUAUAUUAUUUUGCAGAGUGUGAGGCAAAAUGGGGGCCAGGGUACCAUAAGCAGGAUAGACCCCAUCAGGGUCUCAGGUUCAAAAGCUGCUCCACAUUAACAUACACAAAACCCCUUCCUCUGCUUCUUAAAGGUUUGUGCUUUUGACUCCUGACACAGUUAUUGGUGAUAAAUUGUAACAAAAAUAGCUCAUGAGUUUAUAUUUAGGUGCUUCCAUAAGGAGCUGCUAGGCUAAAUUUGUCUGUGGCAAGUUACUUUAUUUGGCCAUUUGGCCCUGAGAGGCACAUCCCUCAUGUUUUCCCAGCAAUUCUAUUUUCUUAGUUCUUACAGGAAAGGAAAGAGUUAAAAUUUCCUUCAUGUAGAAAAGGACAUAAAGACAAGUAAUUUGAAUACUGGCCUCAGUUUUCCUGGAAAGGAACAGGAAAGAGUAACAAGUUCUCUUUUAGCUGCAAGUGCUUUGUUGCCCUUGCUAAUACUUUUAGUCAACAAACCUUAAGAUACUGAGUAACCAGGAACCGAACAUGCCGCCAGCGGAUGCUUAACUUUUUUGCACCCAGUUGAUAGACAGGCCAACUGAAGCAGGGCUAGGGGGGUGAAAGAGGACCAGCACCCAAGUUGCCUGACUCCUUCCUCAUGCACUAUCGUUACGUUAGCAUUUUGGUUGUGAAAAAUGAAUAUAUUCUCCAUCUGAGGCACUUCACGCAAUAGAGGAUAAACAAUUCUAUAGUUGUAAAGGGUCAUCUGGGUGAAAAAUGAAAGGACAUUUAAAAAUGCAGAUUGAUAUUAAGUAAUACUAAAAAAAAAAAUUUCCAUAGAGAUUCUUUCCCAUUUUGAAGAUUUGGUAUCUUUGGGCACAUUACUAUGAUCACAAAACCAAGUUUGAAAUUAGUAGGCACAGGUCCUUGAAAAAUUCUUCUACUCCUAAAGUUAAAGAGAAAAAAACAUCCAGCAAUAUCCCUGCUAAGUGUAACGGUUGCCUGCUGCACAGCUGAGAAGAGAUUGGUGCUGACAGCACAGAAACAGCACGCGGGUACCUGCUCCAGAUGCUCUUCCUUCAUCGUUCAACCCCCCGAGUCUUAUGUACAUUGUCAUAUUCAUUGGACUGGUCCUAAAACAGAGCGAACAACUGACAUAACCAGCUGGAUAAGCGCAGUAAAGACACUGGUGCACUCAAAGUUAAAUUUGCAAUGAUUAAGCUGAAUGUUAGUCUUAGACCCAUGUGUUUCAAAUAGGUUGAGCUGCUCUUCCUCCUGUUGAAGUUGGUCAUGGAGUGGCUCUUGAUGGGCUGGGUAAAUUUAUGGCAAGGAGCCUCCUGCAGGUGCUUAGGGAGGUGCAGCUCUCAGGCCUUGGAUAUGCUGGGCUAAUUUUUGAUCACUGUAAAUCAAUGGGUUGGCACUGCUGUGGUUAGAGAGAAGGAGCUGUGGAUCCUGAUUUGAUUUCCUUUGCUGACAGAGCCUUUUCUGGCUGCCUCAGCAAAUGCCAAUGAUACAGCCAACAAGUGGGGCUUUACAGAGAAAGGGUGCUGCUUCCCUGUCUCUGAGAUCACUGAGUUUCAAAUGGCUGAUUGCCCCUAGCACUACAGUUUUCAUCCGGAUCAUUUGUCCCUGCAAGAAGUUUAAUUUAUUGGAAUUAAUUUCAUACAGCUGCUGGAAUACAUCAAAGUGCAGCGAGAGGGAGUUGAGCAAACUCAGCCCCCACGGUGCCUGUCGGGAGGGAAGCUGCCAUCUGUCUCCCUGACGAGCUGCAUUAAGGUUUUUUUUGCCUGAGAAAUCUGUGCAUUUUGUUUCAGUCUCAGGCACUGUUCCUCAAAGAUGCUCUCUUUAAGCAGCUGAUGUCCGAUGACAGUGGGCCCUGGGGUCGUCACUGCUGGUAAAAAUACAGUACAGCUGCAGCUCAGAUUUAAAGCUCACCUCUGUAAUAAGGUGGGAGGAAACUGCUGAUGGCAGAUAGCAGGUGGGAUUACGUGGCUGCUUAAAAGGCUUCACGCACACACCACUGGGCCAAACCAUUUUGGGGUCAGAUCUCCACUGAACCUUAUGCAGUCAUUUUCUACAGGGCAAAGUGGUAUAUAACACUGCCUGAUGGGAGAAAGACAGUCUCCAUCUGAGACACUCUGCGAGAUACAAGACAACAGAGAAUCUCACUUCCAGUGGUACCUUUACCCUGUUCUCUCAGCAUUUGAUUAUUUGUUGAUGAUUUUGGUUUUUUUGAUCUAACCAGAAAUUAAAGUUGUGCUAGUUCAGCUCAAAUCAGGACAAACGUAUGUAAUUGCAGCGGUGAGAGCCCUGUGCACGCACUGAGCUCUCAGGUACACCGUGCCUUAGCUCAGGAAGGCUCAAGUCUCUUCCCACAUCGCUCAAAUGGUGAGGUCAGAUGAACAGUUUGGAAACAUGUGGUGGUCCUGUCUCCAAGCUGUGCUCCACUGAGCUACAGCAUGACAUUGCUAAGCCGCUGCAGGACAAAGUGUCUUUGCUUCACCUCUGCUGAAGGCUUUGCUGGGAACUAGCAGCUUCAAGGGUGGGAAACAUGAGUUGUUCAGCACUUUGCUGUAAGAGGAGAAUUGACUGCUUGGCCAUGCCAUGAUGAAAUGGAAAUAUCUAUAUUUCUGUUUUUACAGUUGCAGAGCUGUUUGCAUGGAUUGGGCUUUAACGGGUACAAUGUUUAUGGAGAAAACCUUAUAGGCUUUAGACAUUUUGGGGGGAGAGGGAAAGAAUUGUCACUCAUGAAUUUGUGCAGAGUUCAGCACAUGGAGUCCUGACAUAAUGGGGACAUCUAGAUAUCACCGCAAUAUAAAUGAUAAGUAAUAGAAAUGCAAUGUCCUACUAAGAUUAAUAGUAAUGAGGUAGAAGGAAAAUGACUACUUCAAUGAGAUGAUAAUAGCAUUUAGUGACAUACAGGCACUAUACUUCAACAAAUAGGUAGUCAGUUGUAAAAAAGAAUAAUCAGGAAUCAAAAUGCUUGCUCUAGGUUGUUGUUACAGUGGUCUCUGAUCGCUAUAAUGUGCACUUGUGCUUCAGCCAGUGGGAGGAAAAGGUCCAGCACAUCCUUAGACUGCGACAGCACUUCUCUGUGUUUCUCCCCUUUCCUUGUUGAGAUGCAAGUCCCUGUCUGUGUGUUUUAGGGCAUAUGGUUAGCAUUGAGAUAAGAAAGAAGUUAGGAGCAUAUGUGUUUAGUUUUUCCCUUGAAAUUGGCAUCAAGAGCAUAGGAGCACAGGAAGGGGAGGGACCUUGUGUGCUUCUGGGUCCAGUCCGCUCCAGCUGCAGGCUAUUGUUUUAGGUAAUCCCCUCCUUAAUGGAUCAAGUCCUGUCUUGGGAUUUUUAUUGCUGUCAUCCAUUUUUGGGGUUGUUUUGGAUCCCCACUUCCUUAAUAAGUAGAAUUUUUCAUCUAAUUUCCAGCCUAAAUUUAUUCAUGGAGAGGUAGUUCAUAACCAUGUGCUCUUCCGUCAACAUAUUCUUUUCAUUAAAUAGCUCUUUCCCUCCACUGGCGAUUAACCUCCUGAGGUAUUUAUACAGAGCAAUCAUAUAAUCUCUCUCUCUAUUUGGCCAAGCUUUUCUAUGUCCCCUGGUACUGUUAACUUUCAGUCACCAAAUAUGUGAAGUAGUUGAAGGUCCUAUGGGGGAAGAUGUCACCCAGCUCUUUGAGAGCCAUACCAUGGGGGCACCUGAUGAGCUGGGAUAUGUGAAGGAGGAUACAGUUCACAUACCCAUCUACUGAGCCUCCGUGGGUACUCAAAAAUGUGCCCCAAACUUGGGAUAUGGGUUUGGAGACCAAAAUCCAUGUUUAUCUGAUGUCAGUGACUGGAAGGAAACUUCCACCCACUGGAGGAACAAGGACUUUUGCAAAGCUCUCCCAGAGAGUAUACAUUUCCUUCUAGAUGUUCCCUCCCGGAAAUUUUGUUUCCCUCAUACUGCAGGUUUGUAUUUGUUUCUGUGGAGUCUGUCUGAAGGAAGAUAUUCUUUGCGGCAUCCUGCCUUCCUGGGUCUGCAUUAAAUAUGCCAAGACUUAUUAAAUGGGUAUUUCUUGGAUGGUGUCUUUUUCUGGAUUGUGUGGUUGGCUGGUAUGCACAGAUAAGGUAAUCACCGCUGCCAUUGCAAGGAAAAACAAAACUGCUGCAAAGCAGGAUGACUGGAAAUCUACUUUCUAUUCUUGCUCAUUUUUGUUAGAAUAGCGGCUGAUUCACUUUCUGCUGGCUGCCUUUAGGAGACAGCUCAGUGCUGGAACCGCUCACUCCAAAUCCCUUGGAGUUACCAGACUGCCCAUCUGAUUGGCCCAAACGCUGGAGCCAAACUAAACUCCGGCAAAAAAGACCAAAAAUAAUACCCAGCUGAGCAGGUUUUGCACAAAUAAAUCCAUCCACCUUUCCUUUUUCAUAAUCCUUUCCCUACCUGUGAUCCGUUAUUUUUCAGAAAUGAAACUGGCUGGUUACUUGCUGAGGACAGUGCUUUGCGGAGGAAGGUCAACUGAGCUGAGAGGGUGGUGCCACAUACUGAAUUUUGCACUGGGGAUUGUGCAGAACAUGUCCCACUGUCCUGAAACACAGGCACAAAAUUUUCCUGGUGCCAUAGGGGUCUUCACGUUCCCAGUUGCACAAAUGAGAAAGUAAUGAGCAUUGCAGGACAGUGAAGCAGUAAGAAGGUACCUCUAUUCUGAAGUCUUCUCUGUCAUUAAGGCUGUCAUUAAAGCUUCAAACAGAGCAGCAUAUUUUGGUCACGUUGUUUGUCUCUGUUGCUCUGCUGAGUCACACCAACCCUUCAGUUUCCUUCCCAAAGGCUCCCACAUACAAAGUCCUUCUGUGCCUCACCCACAAGGCAUAACUUUUUCUGGCUAAGAUGAGCUUUACUUUCCUACACCAAAUGCUUUGCACAGUCAUCUGUGAAAAGAAAUGUUGAAAACUCUGUGACCCUCAGGAGUUUCCAUUUGUAGCUGGCUCCGUGUUUAAACCAUUCCUUUUCUUGCCUCACCAUUGCACACGAAACAUCUGAGAAAAUAGUGGGAGCAUUGGAGAGUCGUUCAGCAGCCUUGAUACCAACACCCAGUGUUUCUGGCUGUGGAGGAAGAGGCAGAUGGUUUGCAUGUGGUGUUUACAGCAUUCUUUCGGGGAUGCAUCCACGGCACACUGUGGAGGACGUGUUUUGUGGUGCUCCGUAAGGAAGCAAGUGGGAUUGCACUCAGGACCGGUUCAGUCUUCGGCAAAGGAAGCCUUGCCAAGAGGGACGGUGGCAGGCUUGACACAAUGAACAGGGGAAGCAGCAGCCGCACCACCGCCGCCUCUACGUGGCAGGCAAAGGAGGACAGUGAAUGAACAUCUUGCCAAGCAAGCAAUGGAUUCACAGGCAAUGCUCAUUGUCAUCAUAUCCUCGCUGAAGCCUGGCAGAAGCUGCCUGUAACCUGUGUGUAUCUAUCUGCUGGACCCUCAGUUACCCCAUGCUGGCAUCUCCUGCCAACCCUUCUGGGGAGACGAGCUUCACCCUCACCUUCUCAUCCUGUAGUGUUUGGAGCAGGAACAGCUGAAGACGUGGCAGGUCAGUCUGGGGAGGAUGAGCGUUAGGGCUGCUGCUGAAAUACUGGUUUGCUGUCAUUUAAUGUUCCUCCCGUGAGAGUGACUCUGCACUGGGCUGUCCCCAACAUGCUGGCUUGUCAGCAUGACCCCAUGACACUUCACAUGAUGUGGAGAUAUUAAUACAUACACUUUGCAUCUGGAUAUCUAAAUACAGAUUAGUUCUUCUCCAUAGGUUAAGACCUGUGUCCUCAUGAUGGACUAUGUUGUUUGACACUGCUGCCUUAAUAAUGGGAUAGUAAAUUUUGCUCUCCACACACAUAGUUCAUUCUCUAUGCAUGCAACUACAGCUACAUGCCAGUUUAUUUUAUAAGGAAGAUGGUCCCAGAAGAGGUAUACACACAGUUUACUACAGAAUUUUAAAGCUUGCCAGUUGAUGCCAAAAGUCCGUUUGUGGCAUCCAUCUAAACAGCAUCAACCCUCGGGACGAAGAGACUCCUCUCAGCCCCACCAGUGGUUCUCAGUACUGGGCACCUCCAUCCCCGGUUAAAGCAUUCCCCCAACAAUUCCUCCUUGCCACUGUUUUGGGAGGAUGUACAACAUAAAUAGUUGUCUCUUGCAAGAGUUGACAAAAAUCAAGCCAUUGAUGAGUUGAGGAAGAAUGCUUCCAGAGAGGAGGUAGAACGCCCCAGCCAGUGGUAUGAGAAGCUUCCACUGUCACAAUGGGAAGAAAAUGAAAAAAAAAAAAAGAGUAGAAAUUCACUCAGCAGAUCCUCCCACCAGGCUGCAGGCUGGAACUGUAACUCUGACUGGAGUCAUCUUUAUAUGCCCUCGAUGUAAUCACAUACAUAUAUAUAUGAGCCUCUUCCUGUUUAUUGCAGUAAAUAAAUAUUUUGCCAAACUGAAAAAGAUAACAAAAUUGAUAUGAUA